rnacentral:rRNA from 1 species
GGANUGCGAAUGCGCGAAAAGCGUGACGCAGCAACGCCGCGUGGGGGAAGAAGGCCUUCGGGUUGUAAACCCCUUUCAGGAGGGACGAAGCUUCGGGCGUUAAUAGCGUUUCGGAGUGACGGUACCUCCACAAGAAGCCCCGGCUAACUACGUGCCAGCAGCCGCGGUAAUACGUAGGGGGCAAGCGUUGUCCGGAAUCAUUGGGCGUAAAGAGCGCGUAGGCGGUCCGGUAAGUCCGCUCUGAAAGUCCGGGGCUCAACCCCGGGAGGCGGGCGGAUACUGCCGGGCUAGAGUCCGGAAGAGGCGAGUGGAAUUCCUGGUGUAGCGGUGAAAUGCGCAGAUAUCAGGAGGAACACCAAUGGCGAAGGCAGCUCGCUGGGACGGUACUGACGCUGAGGCGCGAAAGCGUGGGGAGCAAACAGGAUUAGAUACCCUGGUAGUCCACGCCGUAAACGAUGGGCACUAGGUGUGGGAGGUGUCGACUCCUCCCGUGCCGCAGCUAACGCAUUAAGUGCCCCGCCUGGGGAGUACGGCCGCAAGGCUAAAACUCAAAAGAAUUGACGGA